UUUUUUUUUUCCAUAUUUGAAUGGACUUAAGGUAAAGACUGACAUCUCUAGAAGAUGAUUCUAGGAUAACACGGGAGAAAGAGGGCACAAUAUGAUACUAGAGCUUUCUGUUUUUUCAUGUAUUCAAUCUAUGAUGUUUGAUCAAUCCUAGAAAACCUUGAAAGUUAUAUGAUGUUUGGUUAUCUUUUAUGGCUUUGUUUUCUGCAAAUAUUUGGGGAGAGAUUGGCUGAUAUUUUUUUUUCCAAAAAGGGACAACUGUAGUUAAACUCUCUGUCUGUAUAAUGUACACAAUGAAAGAGAGAGAGAUGUAUAGAUAUAGAGAGAGAAAAGAGAGAUGCAGAGAGAAAGAAAGAGAGCAGUGUACUGGAGGGACCUGAUUAGGGCUUUUGUGGAAAUGAAAAGAGAUUGACAGUAGGAUAGAGGUG
rnacentral:lncRNA from 1 species